rnacentral:sRNA from 1 species
AAAAGGAAAUUUUUGUUUGACAUGCACAUGUCAAAUUCUGAGACUGUUAAAGUUGACACGUGUCAUGAUCUGGUGAAUUACUAACUUUUCGAAAACCGUACUUUAUAUAAUAAAAUGAUAUCAAUGUAAGAGUUAUUUAGUUUAGGACUAUAUAUAUAUAAAU